rnacentral:lncRNA from 1 species
UUAGCAGCUUCAAUGUUGUUGUUAGGCAUAAACAGCUUGCAAAUUUCAAUUUUUUUUCUCUCCUCACUUUUGAACUAGAUUUGGGCAAUGGAGGUGAUGACAGCAUUUUAGAAGACAGAACAGGAAUUCUAGGUGUUUAGGCACGUUGAAGAGAAACUUGCUAGAGGUGAUGAAGUGGAAAGAAAAAGACGAUUCACUAUAGAGAUGAACAUUAUUGCAGUUCUGCAAAGAUAUUUUCUUUUAAAACAUCCAUAUCUCUUCUUUGCCAUGGAAACUACACCCAAUCUACCUGAACCUGCGGCACCCCUCUGAUGACCCAUUUGGAUUCUCUGAUUUCACUGCCAAAAUUCUCAGUCAGUAUUCCAUCACAUACCACCUUUAUUUUCUCAAUUCUCUUUCAGAUUUUAAACACAAAAUCCGAUCACAUGUUUUCAACCCCACUGAAACUGUGAUGUCAGAAACUUUGUAAAUUAUGAAGUGAACAACGUUUUUCUUCUUCCUCAUUUGAUGAUGAAGCUGUCACCAGUCUUGAAUGAAUUUGCC